UCAGUUAUCGCUUAGCAUUAUUAUAAAACUAUGUCACUUUUAUUGCCUCGGUCCGUAUUGGUGCAAUAAAUUACUCUACAGUUUAAAUAAUUGUUUAGACUAGAACCGAUCGUCAAACAAGUAUUUUUCAGUGAUUCAAUAUGUGCAUCAUCGAACGCAAGCGAUGUGUGAGGUGUUUUCUAAUCUAAAGGAGAGUUACUAUCUAGCAGUAACUAUACAUGAGAUUCACCAUGCCACCAAUACUAGAACACAUUUUAAAAAACCUGACCAGAAGAAAGAAGGUAGACUGCAACAAACUUAAGUUUGGGAAUAUGACUCAUACCACGAAGAUGCGCAAAGAAUCGUGUUUAGUAAUGUUACCAUAGAAACAGCCUGUGUUAUGCUUGCUGUGUCGUAGUUUUAGAAGUUAAUGCUUACUAUUGUUAUGAAAACCGGUUAACCCAUUAAAGAUGUCGCCACAUCUUUCAGAAUCUCUUGUAUGCAAGAGUAAGCAGUGUUAAUGACUGUCUUAAUUUGAAUACGGAUAUAGCAGCUCUUCAGAAUUGGUCGAUACUAACGGAAUAAGUUUGAAUAUAGAUUUUAAUCAUUGUUAUACUCAAAGUUUCGAGUUUUCCUGAAUUUAAAUCUUUUACUUAUACAAAAGCAUUUAGGAGACAUGCUGCACCUUUUAGGAACUACACCUCUUUGCAUUACAUUGCGUUGCGAAACCAUUUUAUUUUAUACAGUAUACCUCUAUUUUUCGUAAUGUUCUAAUAUAGUUAUUUAAUGUUAUUUUUAAAUAAACCAUUUGCAACUA